UGGGGCAUAGUUUAACGGUAGAACAUCGGACUCUGACUCCGCUAGUAUUGGUUCGAAUCCAGUUGCCCCAACCA
rnacentral:tRNA from 1 species